rnacentral:rRNA from 1 species
AUGACUAGUCUUUGCUAUGGCGAGACUAGGGGAGUAACACAAGGUAGAAUAAAGAGCAUUGAUUUUCCCACAAUACAAUACUUUGCCUUAUUUAAUGGAAAAUGUAUUGUAGGUAAACAAGAUUGUAGUACACUUUGUGCUCUAGACUUGAGCCUCAUACGCGCCGCUCUCACCGGUGACAAAAGUUAUAAUCUUGGAGUGAUUGUUGCACGCAGGUUGCAACACAACACUGGUAGUGGAUAUUUUUAUGGGGGAAUCUGUGCCACACAUUUAGCAAGAGAGUUGGGUGUUUCACCUUUGCCCUAUGAGCCUAUUUUACCCACGUAG